rnacentral:rRNA from 1 species
UAUUACUUUCGUUAAUCAGUUUUGGAUUAGUAUUAUUGAGGAAAUUUAAUGGAUUUGGCGGCAAGAUAGCCCAUUUAGAGGAACCUGCCCUGUAAACGAUGAGCCACGAUAGACCUUACUUUCUUUAGCAUUCAGUUUGUAUACCGCUGUUGUCAGUCAGUUUCGCAUAGAAAACUUUCAAUAAUGAUUUAUUCAUAGACUUCAAGUAAAGGUGCAGCUUAUAGGAAAGAUAGAGGUGGGUUACAAUUUUAAGAUAAAAACGGAUAGUGGAAUGAAAAGCCGCUAGAAGGUGGAUUUAAUAGUAAAAWUUGAAAGAAUUUGAUGCGAGCACUAACUUGU